AUUAAAAGAGAAAGUGAAAGUACAAAUGUAUAUCCUAAAUGCAAUCCUUACACAAAGCGAUCUUUCGAGUUAAAACUGUAUCACAUUGUGCAUGCCGAUGUAAACAGACAAUGCCGAAGAAGGGAAAAGCUUCUGAAAAGAAGGCAGAUGUACAACCUACAGACGAAGGACCUGUUAUUAUGAAGCCUGACAAAUCUGUAUCAAUAAAAAUUUUAGCCAAACCUGGUGCUAAACACAAUUCUAUUACAGGUUUUGAAGACGAUGGAAUAGGUGUUCAAAUAUCUGCUCCACCAGUGGAUGGAGAGGCCAAUACAGAACUUGUUAAAUAUAUGGCCAAAGUAUUGGGUAUCAGAAAGUCAGAAAUAUCACUAGACAAGGGAUCCAGAUCACGCAACAAAGUACUGGUAGUUAAUGGUCUACAAAAAGAUGUCAUAAUAACAAGUAUUAAAAGCCAAAUAGAUAAUUGAAAGAAAGGGAAGAUACACAAUAAACAGCACAAGCUGACACAGUAGGAUCGAACGAACAACAUUUUCCUUCUGUGCUGAUAUUAUUGAAUUGAGGGAGGUGAUCUUCAUGUUAGUAUAUUUUGUUUGCCCAAAGAACAGACACAUGGACGAGACAGAUACGAUAAACACUAAAGUUCCAAGAUUAACUGCCUCUAGGUUGUCUUUAUCCAAAAGACUAGUGUCAACACUGAAAAUUUCCAUCAG